GUUUCAGAGUGGCAGUCGUGUUAGUCCGUAUCAGCAAAAACAACAAGGAGUCCUUGUGGCACCUUAGAGACUAACACGUUUAUUUGGGCAUGAGCUUUCGUGGGCUAAAACCCACUUCAUCGGAUGCAUAGAGUGGAAAAUACAG